UACAGAGGUCUCAAGCGUUGUUCGGAUUCAUUGGGCGUAAAGGGUGCGUAGGCGGCGCGGUAAGUCGGGUGUGAAAUCUCGGAGCUUAACUCCGAAACUGUAUUCGAUACUGCCGUGCUUGAGGACUGGAGAGGAGACUGGAAUUUACGGUGUAGCGGUGAAAUGCGUAGAUAUCAGGAAGAACACCAACGGCGAAGGCAGCUCGCUGGGACGGAACUGACGCUGAGGCGCGAAAGCGUGGGGAGCAAACAGG
rnacentral:rRNA from 1 species